CAGCAGCUCGGCUCCAACAGGUGUGAAGAGAAACUGUGGAGCAAAACGUGAGUUCUUCAAGAUAGCUGCGGUCUCUCCAUCCAUGUCAACGGCUUCGCCUUCCUAACGGGCAGCAAGCGAGAAUGUCUCGUGUCAUUUAGGCUGGCCUCAAAACUGCUGUGAACCCAGGAAUGACCUUGUGUGAGAACCAACCUUACAUUUUAAGUUUUAAUUACUAUGCCUAAGAGAUUCAUGAACCAACAAUGCCUCUGGUCUGCAAACUCCUUGCCCAAGGACAGAGAGUUCCUGAAAUGCUGGAGACUGUUGUUUAUGGGAGAUAACAAGCCACAUGUUUUCACUCCCCUAAACAGACUGCUUCCAUGCCUACUCAGCCUCAUUUCUACCCGAUUCUAGGAACAAGUCUUCCCAGCACCACAGGACAGAAACAAUACUGGGCCUUGGCAUGCACAAAAUGUGAUGCUUGGCCAACAGGGGGACUGUGAAGACCCAAGAAGAAGAAGCAGAAGGAAGGUGGCGGAGGAUGCCGAGGAGGAUGCAGAGUGUGGAGAAACGCUGUCUGUGCACCCAUGUUCAAGAGUCUACAAGGCCAAAUGAUUGAACUCAAAGACGGUGAGGAGUAAAAAUGCUGCAGACCAGAACCAGAUCAUCUUGGCAUGUUUCUAGUCCCCUGACAUACAUCUGUUGCCCACACCAGUGUCUACCCUAACAUUCUUCUGACUAUUGAACCUUACAAUGUAUUCUCGGCAGACCACCAGCUUCACCAACCCAAAAUCAAGAAUGUCAUCAAAUAGCAUCAGAAACCUAUAGCAGAAUAUUCCCCCACUUGGCUCACCACCAGCCGCCUAACUGUGGCUUCCACCAAUGUAUUUGGUAGAGACUUGGAUUUAUAAAUGUCUUUGUUCUGGAACCUUCCCCAUAGUGUGAUGCGCUGUUUGAGGAAAUCUGAACCUAUGUUCCUUAGACUAGGGUUAUCAUAUUUGGUUGCAAAAUAAACCAGCCCUUAUCUCUUCGAGGAAAGAACUUCACUUUUGCAUCAGUGACAUUCUACUUUUCUCAGCUAGAAUAUGAGUCUGGGUAUUUGAUUUCAAAGACUGUACUAUUCUACAUUGAGAAAACAAAGCCCUCUGUUUACAAACGGCUUGAUUACAUGACACUGCUGUGCCAUACUGCUUUCCCAUAUGUUCACUGGUCUCUCUAUAGAACGUCUGAAUGAAGCUUUAUCCAAGUUCUUA